AUUGAACGCUGGCGGCAGGCCUAACACAUGCAAGUCGAGCGGAUGACGGGAGCUUGCUCCUUGAUUCAGCGGCGGACGGGUGAGUAAUGCCUAGGAAUCUGCCUGGUAGUGGGGGACCACGUUUCGAAAGGAACGCUAAUACCGCAUACGUCCUACGGGAGAAAGCAGGGGACCUUCGGGCCUUGCGCUAUCAGAUGAGCCUAGGUCGGAUUAGCUAGUUGGUGGGGUAAUGGCUCACCAAGGCGACGAUCCGUAACUGGUCUGAGAGGAUGAUCAGUCACACUGGAACUGAGACACGGUCCAGACUCCUACGGGAGGCAGCAGUGGGGAAUAUUGGACAAUGGGCGAAAGCCUGAUCCAGCCAUGCCGCGUGUGUGAAGAAGGUCUUCGGAUUGUAAAGCACUUUAAGUUGGGAGGAAGGGCAGUAAGCUAAUACCUUGCUGUUUUGACGUUACCGACAGAAUAAGCACCGGCUAACUCUGUGCCAGCAGCCGCCGCAG
rnacentral:rRNA from 1 species